AUGCCUGCCCUGUCUGUACCCUCCAACCAACCCUCCUGGUCCCUCCACACUGACAGCUGUCCCUUACCCCACCACCUCCAUGCCUCUCGGCUCAUCCAGGGGUCUGACAAGUAUAUGAGCCCAGUUGAGGUGCAUUCUCCUUGGGCCUGGCUCAUUUCAUCACCUGGCCCCNNNNNNNNNNNNNNNNNNNNNNNNNNNNNNNNNNNNNNNNNNNNNNNNNNNNNNNNNNNNNNNNNNNNNNNNNNNNNNNNNNNNNNNNNNNNNNNNNNNNNNNNNNNNNNNNNNNNNNNNNNNNNNUGUAUUGUUGUGUACUCGUUAUUACGGGUCUCGUCCCGUGUAUUGUUGUGCAUUUGUUAUUGCGGGUCUCUUCCCGUGUUGUGUAUUACGGGUCUCGCCCAGUGUUGUGUAUUGAGGGUCUCGCCCCGUGUUGUGUAUUAUGGGUCUCGCCCCGUGUUGUGUAUUACGGGUCUCGCCCCGUGUUGUGUAUUACGGGUCUCGCCCAGUGUUGUGUAUUACGGGUCUCGCCCCGUGUUGUGUAUUACGGGUCUCGCCCCGUGUUGUGUAUUACGGGUCUCUUCCAAUUGUGUAUUAUGGGUCUCUUCCCGUGUUGUGUGUUACGGGUCUCGCCCCGUGUUGUGUAUUGCGGGUCUCGCCCCGUGUAGUGUAUUACGGGUCUCGUCCAGUGUAUUUAUUAGAGGUUUAACCUCGCUCUUUUCUUUGGGUUACAUCCCUGUGUUUUUGUAUAAGUGUUUGUUUUGGGCUUCAUCCCCGUGCCCUUCAUGGCAUGUUGUAUAUUUUGGGUGGAGUAUUAAAACCCCCUAUUACGUAUUCCUGCGCCUGUCUCCCAUAAUUUAUACAACGUGACAUCUGGUAGCGUUCUAUCAGGACAUUUUAAUGCUUGUAAGGAUUUGGGUUACAGUAUGCAAGUCAAGUGGAGGAUACAAGUACUGUAUUUCCAGAAAGGGGGACAAAAGCUUUGCAGACCCCUCUAGUAAGCAUUGGGGAACAACAUAAAGCCUUUGUCAGUGCUCAGUGCGUGGGAGCAGAGACAGCCAUGAACGUGUGUUGAUGCUAUCAGAGUGUACAAACCAGUGUAAUAUAAUAAAGGGUAAUUGUGUUGUUGCAUUCUGUACAUGCUUAUGUUAAUUACAUUAAACCAAGGUCCAUUUCCCGCAGAUGAAAAUCUAUGGAAAAUGACCUUGUUACCUGAUAUAUCGUCUUGCUUACAGUGGAGUAUGGACACGCAUAGCCUUAUGUUCAGCUACUACAAAUAAACAGUACACAGUAUAGAAAAAAGGGUGUUAUCUAGAACCUAAAAGGGUUCUUUGGCUGUCCCCCAUAGGAGAACCUUUUUGAUGAACUAGUUUUGGUUCCAUAUAGAACCCUUUUCACAGAGGGUUCUACCUGGAACCAAAAAUAAGUAUCGUCUGGGGACAGCUUGACACCUUAAUAAGCUCAUUUCCUGAUGACAGCUCACCACUCUUAGUACUUCAACCUCCCGAAGUCUGCCUUUGAUUCAUUUCGUUCCAACUCUCACUUUCCCCUUCUUUGCCUUCACCCUUUCCCAGUCCCCUCACACUCACAAGGCAGUCAAUAUGCUUGAUCUCAUCUUUACUAGAAGCUGCUCGCCUACUAAUUUCAUUGCAACCACCCUUCAGGUCUCUGAUCACGACUUUGUUUCUGUUUCCUUUUCGACCUCCCCUACUCAUUCACUCAGCCUAUUGAUUCGACUGGUCUCACUCAUACAGAAGUACCCUACGCCUUGACCUCUUUCUCCCCUUUCUCUCCAGAUGACUUCCUGUGACUAGUGAGGUCUGGCUGCCUAACAACUUGCCCGCUCGACUCCAUCCCCUCCUCCCUUCUCCAGACCAUCUCUGGAGACUUUCUCUCAUUCCUCAGUUCCCUCAUCAACUCAUCCCUGACCACUGGCAGAUCUCUGACUUCAAAAUGGCCCGAGGCGUUCCCCUCCUCAAGAAACCAACAGUUGACUAAACUGACGUCAAAAACUAGAGACCUGUAUCCCUUUCUUUUCUUUUCAAAACUCUUGAGCGUGCUGUCUCUGAUCAACUCUCUCGCUAUCUCUUUCAGAACGAUCUUCUUGACCCUAACCAGUCAGGCUUCAAGACGGCUCACUCAACAGAGACCGCUCUUCUCUGUAUCACAGAGACUCUCCACACGGGCAAAGCUGACUCUCUCCUCUCUUCUCAUCCUCCUAGAUCUAUCCGCUGCCUUCAACACUAUGACACUUCUAUGCUCGCUUCAAGGCAAAUAACACUGAAACAUGUAUGAGAGCACCAGCUGUUCUGGAAGACUGUGUGAUCACGCUAUCCGCAACCGAUGUGAGUAACGGAUUACCAGACAGAUUACCAGGACGUGUACUGGGAGCAUGCACUCACCAACUGGCAAGUGUCUUCACUGACAUUUUCAACCUCUCCCUGUCCGAGUCUGUAAUACCAACAUGUUUUAAGCAGACCACCAUAGUGCCUGUGCCCAAGAACACUGCCUAAAUGACUACCGACCAGUAGCACUCAUGUCUGUAGCCAUGAAGUGCUUCGAAAGGCUGGUCAUGGCUCACAUCAACACCAUUAUCCCAGAAACCCUAGACCCACUCCAAUUUGCAUACCGCCCCAACAGAUCCACAGAUGAUGCAAUCUCUAUUGCACUCCACACUGACCUUUCCCACCUGGACAAAAGGAACACCUAUGUGAGAAUGCUAUUCAUUGACUACAGCUCAGUGUUCAACACCAUAGUGUCCUCAAAGCUCAUCACUAAGUUAAGGUCCCUGGGACUAAACCCCUCACUCUGCAACUGGAUCCUGGACUUCCUGACAGGCCGCCCCAAGGUGGUAACGGUUGGUAACAACACAUCUGCCACGCUGAUCCUCAACACAGGGGCCCCUCAGGGGUGCGUGCUCAGUCCCCUUCUGUGCUCCCUGUUCACUCAUGACUGCACGGCCAGACACGACUCCAACACCAUCAUUAAGUUUGCCGAUGAAACAACAGUUAUUUACAAUAUCAAACAAGAUAAUUUAAAUCAUAAGACUGUUAUGUAUAUUCUUCUGUAUAUCAAAUUAUAAAUACAUAACUUAAUUUCCUUAAUGGUGCCUGAUCACUGACAACGACGAGACAGCCUAUAGGGUCAGAGCUUNNNNNNNNNNAUACAAGUACUGUAUUUCCAGAAAGGGGGACAAAAGCUUUGCAGACCCCUCUAGUAAGCAUUGGGGAACAACAUAAAGCCUUUGUCAGUGCUCAGUGCGUGGGAGCAGAGACAGCCAUGAACGUGUGUUGAUGCUAUCAGAGUGUACAAACCAGUGUAAUAUAAUAAAGGGUAAUUGUGUUGUUGCAUUCUGUACAUGCUUAUGUUAAUUACAUUAAACCAAGGUCCAUUUCCCGCAGAUGAAAAUCUAUG
rnacentral:lncRNA from 13 species